rnacentral:rRNA from 1 species
ACUCCUACGGGAGGCAGCAGUGGGGAAUAUUGCGCAAUGGGCGAAAGCCUGACGCAGCAACGCCGCGUGGAUGAAGAAGGGUUUCGGCUCGUAAAGUCCUGUCCUGAAGGACGAAAGUACCAAGGUUAAUAUCCUUGGGAGAUGACGGUACUUCAGAAGAAAGCACCGGCUAACUCCGUGCCAGCAGCCGCGGUAAUACGGAGGGUGCAAGCGUUGUUCGGAAUCAUUGGGCGUAAAGAGGGUGUAGGCGGCUACGUGUGUCUGGUGUGAAAGCCCGGGGCUUAACUCCGGAAGUGCACUGGAAACUGCGUAGCUUGAAUCUCGGAGAGGGUGGUAGAAUUCCUGGUGUAGAGGUGAAAUUCGUAGAUAUCAGGAGGAAUACCGGUGGCGAAGGCGACCACCUGGACGAUGAUUGACGCUGAGACCCGAAAGCGUGGGGAGCAAACA